UACGUAGGCAGCGAGCGUUGUUCGGAAUUACUGGGCGUAAAGAGUGUGUAGGCGGUGCUCUAAGUCUGUCGUGAAAUCUCCCGGCUUAACUGGGAGGGUGCGGUGGAAACUGGUGUGCUCGAGGGUGGGAGAGGUAAGCGGAAUUCCUGGUGUAGCGGUGAAAUGCGUAGAUAUCAGGAGGAACACCUGCGGUGUAGACAGCUUACUGGACCACUUCUGACGCUGAGACACGAAAGCGUGGGUAGCAAACAGG
rnacentral:rRNA from 1 species